AGUCAUUACAUGUAAACUUUUGCUGAAAAUGGAACUUGGUGUAUUUGUUUUAAACUAGAUUUAUAAAAUGUUUUUAAUUGUCCUCAUAUUCUUAUUUUUCAUUGACCGUAGUACCUCAGUGACUGGUGACUAAUGUGUAACAUGCAACCAGAUGCUAAAAUUAAUUUACAGAGCCAAGUGAGCUUUUUGAAUCAGCAACCUCCAUAUCACCUGAUUCAGUUUAUAAGUAGCCAGAAUACUAGCAGAAAAUGUACACCCGUUGUCACGUCUGAUUUUGUUAGUAGAGCAUUUGGUCUCAAAUCCCUCAAAUUUUUAUACUUAAAGAGAAACCUCAGAGUGUCUGAAAUAGUAGCUAGAAUAUACGGAUGAAUGCAUUUGUGUUCCCAUUCAUAUACCUAACUUCCUCUUGUCUCUGGUUUUAGUCCAGUGCGAAAACAAUACAGACCCAAACUCAGACUCCCGUCUUUCCUGAAGAAAAUGAGUUUUUCCAGGCACCCCGAAGAGAGGAUUGUUCCCACCUGCAAUGUAGAAAUGAUGUCAUGGAGAAGGAUUUCAUCAGAAGAGAUUUUUUGAAAAGGGCAACAGACACCAUAAACAAAUGAUUAGCAAUACAAACAAUAGACUUUCACCCGCUUUUUGCUUCGGUCAUAUGCUAAUUAUGCCUGGCGUACUGAAAAAGCGGGAGCAACAGUCAGUCCUGGACAAGGUUGUUUAAACAAAUUCAAACCCCUCCAUGUGCUUCUGCGACUACAUUUUCCACUUGAAUAGCCACAAGUCCGAAUCCUGCUCCUCCAUCUGAGGGGAACUUCUCAUUAGAUAUUCCACCCUUAAUCCGUCCCAGCUGCUGAGGCCGGAUUUGUUUCAGCUGUCCCGAGAGACAGAGGGUCCCAGAUGCGAAACAAGACUUUCAGAGCAGAUGGCAUCUUGUGAAAGAUUCAGAUCACCCCCACUUCUCUAAUAGACUCUUUUAAGUUAUUUUAAGCUUUGUUAUUUAUAUAACUUAUAAAUUAUUGUAAAUUAAAAAUUCUGAUUGCUGGUGUCUUUUUAAAUAGCACAUCCUUACAUCCUGUUUUACAAUACUAUCUAGAGCAGAGGGGGUUCAAACUUUUGAUAUAAGGACCCCAAAUAUGACAUUCCCCUUCUGAGGGACCUCUAUUUCCAAAGAAAAAAUAAAAAAUAAACUUUUUUUAAAAUAUAUUGUCAUUGUCAUUGUAUUUGAAAAAGAAUCAAAUAAAUGCAAUACCAUGA